CAGAAGUUUCGACUUCAUCAAACACUUCAGAACUUUCUCUAAGUGGCUAUAUUUAGUUAGAAAUCUAAAAUGUAUAAAUUUUUAGUGAAUAUCGAAAACUGACGGGCAAUCCAUUUCCACUGCACGACAACGUGACGGAUUUCCUGCUGACCAUUCCCAAUGUGACCGCUGAGUGCAGCGAGUCCGGUAAGCGGAUCUUCAACCUGAAAGCGAGCCUGAAGAACGGUCACCUCCUGGAUAUGGUGCUCAACCAGAAAGAGCGCACCAGCGACUACAGCAGCGGAGCUCCGUCCCUGGAGAACAUACCACGAGCACCUCCACGCUACUGGAAGAAUCCCUUCAAACGGAGGGCUCUGUCCCAGCUGAACACCAGCCCGAGGACCGUGCCCAAGAUAACGGAUGAAAAGACCAAGGAUAUCGCCACCAGGCCGGUUUCGCUGCAUCAAAUGGCCAAUGAGGCAGCGGAGUCGAACUGGUGCUACCAGGAUAAUUGGAAGCAUCUCAACAAUUUCUACCAGCAAGCCAGCGUAAAUGCGCCAAAAAUGCCAGUACCCAUCAACAUCUACAGCCCCGAUGCCCCAGAGGAACCAAUCAAUUUGGCUCCACCUGGGCAUCAGCCAAGCUGCAGAACCCAAAGCCAGAAAACCGAACCGACUGAAAACCGCCAUUUGGGCAUCUUUGUGCAUCCAUUUAACGGCAUGAACAUAAUGAAGAGACGCCACGAAAUGACGCCCACGCCAACGAUUUUAACCAGUGGAACCUACAACGAUUCUCUGCUGACGAUUAACUCGGAUUACGAUGCCUAUCUGCUGGACUUUCCGCUUAUGGGCGAUGAUUUUAUGCUAUAUCUCGCCCGAAUGGAGCUAAAAUGCCGAUUUAGGCGUCACGAACGCGUCCUGCAGUCAGGACUUUGUGUAUCCGGACUGACGAUCAAUGGCGCCCGAAAUCGUUUAAAAAGAGUCCAAUUACCCGAGGGUACUCAGAUCAUCGUCAAUAUCGGAUCGGUGGACAUUAUGCGCGGCAAGCCUUUGGUUCAGAUCGAGCACGAUUUUCGGCUACUGAUCAAGGAGAUGCACAAUAUGCGAUUGGUGCCGAUUCUAACAAAUCUUGCACCGCUGGGCAACUAUUGUCACGAUAAGGUCAUCGACAUACACUCCUGUCUAAUCAACGAAAGGGGCGUGGUGCGAUUUGAUUGCUUUCAGGCCUCACCACGCCAAGUCACCGGUUCCAAGGAACCCUAUCUGUUCUGGAACAAAAUCGGUCGGCAGCGCGUACUGCAAGUUAUUGAAACGAGUCUGGAGUAUUAAGUUGGGUUCUUAAUCAAGAUACAUAUAUGCAAAUUUUGACUGGGCUGGCACCGGAACCGACAAAAUAAGAACUUUUUGAUGAUUUUACGAUUUACGCUGAUGGAUCGCUGCUUUUACGGAAUUCGCUUAGUUUUAAUAUGUUUUAUAUGUAGUAUGUUCUCUGUCUUUGUUUAUUUAUAUGUUCGUGCACUUGUCCUAGUCCAUUAUUGUAUAUUAUUGUGUGUUUUGUGUUCUAUGUUAGAUUUAAACUUCUCAAUUUUUCGCUGUCUGUGAUUUGUUUUGCCAAUGCCAUUGAUUUUCUGCACACUUUUUGCUGCUAUCCCAAAAGCUGUGUAAAAUAAUCAAAUGCAAAAUAAGCGCAAGCAGCUGAAAACUUCUCUUCAAACUUUUCCGCUUUUCCCAAAACCAUUUUGCUUUGAAAUCUGUUUUUACCAAAUCAGAUUAAACUGCAAAAUGGAACUUAAAUGCAAAUCAUUGCAAUGCUUAUAAACUGUUUUUUGUUCUAUAUACUUUUGUGUGGGUCAAAAUUCGGCAUGCUCCUGUAUCACACAACCUGCCACUUGCCCUUAAAAAGAAGGGCGCAGUGGGCGUGGUACGUAUACAUAUGAGCCAUGCUGCAUUUUGGCCGUAAUGAAAAUGCACUGCUUUACUUGGAAAAUUCGCUUGCACAAAAUCAACGCCGCGGCUGAUUUAUUAUUGAUGUGCUCAAGCAAAUUCAAGUGAAGCAUUUGCGCGAUUUUCGUCUUUCUGUUUCCGUUUGCAAAAAAGUUUAUAAAAUGCUUACACUCUGCUGCAGACACGCCAACCGGAAGUGCGCACUAAGCGCUUGUUUGUAGCACAGUGUAGAAUUCUGGCGUAAUUUACAGCUCUACUUUAAAGUCUUCUAGAUAGCUAUCUACUAUUUAUAAACUUAUUUAUUGUCUUGAAUGUAUGUUAAUUGUAUGUAUUGAUGGUGAUCACGUUUUUUUUGUCCUAUAACAAGCUGCAAUGUAAAAUCCAAAAAAAAAAUGAAAAAAUAAAAUAAAAGG
ensembl:ncRNA lncRNA:osk long non-coding RNA:osk